AUUGAACGCUGGCGGCAUGCCUUACACAUGCAAGUCGAACGGCAGCAUGGAGAGCUUGCUCUCUGAUGGCGAGUGGCGAACGGGUGAGUAAUGCAUCGGAACGUACCGUGUAAUGGGGGAUAACGUAGCGAAAGUUACGCCAAUACCGCAUACGACCUGAGGGUGAAAGCAGGGGAUCGCAAGACCUUGCGUUAUACGAGCGGCCGAUGUCAGAUUAGCUAGUUGGUGAGGUAAAGGCUCACCAAGGCGACGAUCUGUAGCGGGUCUGAGAGGAUGAUCUGCCACACUGGGACUGGGACACGGCCCAGACUCCUACGGGAGGCAGCAGUGGGGAAUUUUGGACAAUGGGGGCAACCCUGAUCCAGCCAUGCCGCGUGAGUGAAGAAGGCCUUCGGGUUGUAAAGCUCUUUCGGCCGGGAAGGAAUCGCACAGGCUAAUACUCUGUGUGGAUGACGGUACCGGCAUAAGAAGCACCGGCUAACUACGUGCCAGCCGCCGCGGUAA
rnacentral:rRNA from 1 species